rnacentral:lncRNA from 1 species
GAAUCCUGUCUUGCCUCCAUUCUUUCUCGUCCCCUGCCCCCACUUCUUCCCACAGACCCCUGGAAUCCGCCCCUGCCGGAUCAGACAAGUGGCGUCCAACGUUGACGGGGCCCGGGGAUGAAGUUCUAGCCAACGCUGAAAAGCCUGGCCAGGUACCCCAAGCCAUCAGCUGGGGCUGAAGAGACCCAAGCCAUCAGCUUGGGCUGUGGAGACCCAAGCCAUCAGCUUAGGCGGUGGAGACCUUCAAAAGACUGCCUAUCUUCUGAAGACUGUCUCGAAAAUGAAGAACGAAUUUGGUUACCUGCAAAGAGAAUUAACCCCAGAAUGAAGAAAUGGGGUCUUCUACAACUUCUGAUGAUAGUAAUCAAACGUAUGAAAGCCAUAUCAGCCUAUGCAGUAUAUUUGGCACGAUUGCAGCAGUAUAACCCUCUGAAACAAGAAGAGCAGCCAACCUGUACCCUAAUGCCUGUUCUCCCUGCCCACGGUCACAACUGCCCCUGUCGCAGCUAACCCUUCUCUGUUUAAUUAAUAUUGCUGAACAGCUUCGGUAAGGAAAUCAACUUCAGUGAGGAGUUUAGUGGCUAAUUGAGCAGCGGGUGCCUUGGCCAAACAAGACCAGGUUGGGUGUGCCUUCACCCACUAAUCUCAGUACAUCAUGCAUGUCGUGCACGGUGUGGAGCUCCCUGUUAUAGCUUGCUAUAGUUGCAAGCCAUUUGUCGCUGAGGCGCUGGUCUGGUUAGCCAAUGACGGGAAACUGGGCUGACCCAUCAGUCAACCUAAGACAGGGACAUGGCCUUUCACUGCCACGAUUUCCAAUGACGGGUAAGACUGAUCACUUAGCGGGUGCAGCCCCGACUUAAGACAGGCACAGCCCUCCUCAGUACGGGAGUGCCCUCCAGCCGCACGUCACUACUGAGUAACAGCCCCACCUUAACGUGAGCCAUCACCAGCUGUUCUUCACUUUAACCUCUAUUACUCCAGAAAACAUAACACAUUAAACAGAGAAGGGGGACCUGUGGGGAGCCACCUGCUGUGAAAUCUAUUUACAGCCUCCAACAACAUGGCGGAUUUCACAACUACUACAGCCCUGCCCCACCACUUCUUUCUUCUUCUUCUUUGUUUCUUUGUUCUCCCCUUCCCGCCACAACUCUGGUAACCUCAGCAGCAUGCAUGCGCGAGGCGUGAAACUCUGCAGACCCAGCACGAACUUUCAGCCAAUCCCCUCCUUGGACGCCUGCCACCCACAAGACCAGCCUAUCACCUAUGGACACGCUCCCUUACCUCAGUAUAAAUUCUGAUGCUCUACCCCCAAUAAACAAGGCUUGAUCAGAAUCCUGUCUUGCCGCCAUUCUUUCUCAUCCCCUGCCCCCACUUCUUCCCACAGGCCCCUGGAAUCCACCCCCGCCGGAUCGGACAACCCCCAGAACACUACAGGCUUUGGAGAAAGCAUGAUCCUGCCACAACCUUACUUUUUGGACUUCUAACCUCCAAAACCAUGAGACAAUAAAUUCAUGUUGUUUAAGCC